rnacentral:misc_RNA from 1 species
GGUAAAAUACUCUGAAACCUGAUGUUUUAAACCUGUCAUAUUGUUUAUCAGGAUUUUUAUGUGCAUUAUUUUGUUGCAUCUUCAACCUUUGAUUGAUGGUAUGCACAGUUGUGUAAUGAGCAUCGAGUAGAAAAAUAGAGCAAACAGAAACAUGUAAUUUAUGAUUAAAUGAUGUCACUUGCUAAAGUGAGUUCCAUGAAGUGCGCACUAUUUGCAACAUGUUAUAUUUUUCACCACUUGGUGGUGUGUGCUUUCACGCAUGCUUGAAUGAAACUUCCUAAGUAGCAGUUGCUAAUUUUCUUUUAUCUUUUUGGCGAGUGUGCCAUAUUGAAUUAACUAACUAGGAUUUUUACUUGUCAUACAGCCAAAU